rnacentral:rRNA from 1 species
GACGAAGGGGGCUAGCGUUGUUCGGAAUUACUGGGCGUAAAGCGCGUGUAGGCGGUUGUUCAAGUCAGGUGUGAAAGCCUUGAGCUCAACUCAAGAAAUGCACUUGAUACUGGAUGACUAGAGGACCGGAGAGGAUAGUGGAAUUCCCAGUGUAGUGGUGAAAUACGUAGAGAUUGGGAAGAACACCAGUGGCGAAGGCGGCUAUCUGGACGGUUUCUGACGCUAAGACGCGAAAGC